UACCUAGGUGGCGAGCGUUGUCCGGAUUUAUUGGGCGUAAAGCGAGCGCAGGUGGUUUAUUAAGUCUGGUGUAAAAGGCAGUGGCUCAACCAUUGUAUGCAUUGGAAACUGGUAGACUUGAGAGCAGGAGAGGAGAGUGGAAUUCCAUGCGUAGCGGUGAAAUGCGUAGAUAUAUGGAGGAACACCGGUGGCGAAAGCGGCUCUCUGGCCUGUAACUGACACUGAGGCUCGAAAGCGUGGGGAGCAAACAGG
rnacentral:rRNA from 1 species